GACUGCUAUCGGAUUGAUACUAAGCCAUGCGAGUCUUUGCAGUAAUGCAGGGCAUACGGCUCAGUAACACGUAGUCAACUUACCCUAUGGACGAGGAUAAUCUCGGGAAACUGAGCAUAAUACUCGAUAGAUCAUAAUGCCUGGAAUGGUUUAUGGUUGAAAUGAUUCAUCGCCAUAGGAUGGGACUGCGGCCUAUCAGCUUGUUGGUGAGGUAAUGGCCCACCAAGGCGAUUACAGGUACGGGCUCUGAGAGGAGAAGCCCGGAGAUGGGUACUGAGACAAGGACCCAGGCCCUAUGGGGCGCAGCAGGCGAGAAAACUUUGCAAUGUGCGAAAGCACGACAAGGUUAAUCCGAGUGAUUUCUGCUAAAGAAAUCUUUUGCAAGUCAUAAAACCACUAGUGAAUAAGGGGUGGGCAAGUUCUGGUGUCAGCCGCCGCGGUAAAACCAGCACCUCAAGUGGUCAGGAGGAUUAUUGGGCCUAAAGCAUCCGUAGCCGGCUCUGUAAGUUUUCGGUUAAAUCCAUGUGCUCAACGCAUGGGCUGCCGAAAAUACUGCAUAGCUAGGGAGUGGGAGAGGUAGACGGUACUCGGUAGGAAGGGGUAAAAUCCUUUGAUCUAUCGAUGACCACCUGUGGCGAAGGCGGUCUACCAGAACACGUUCGACGGUGAGGGAUGAAAGCUGGGGGGGCAAACCGGAUUAGAUACCCGGGUAGUCCCAGCUGUAAACGAUGCAGACUCGAUGAUGCAUUGGCAUAUAGCCAGUGCAGUGUCGCAGGGAAGCCGUUAAGUCUGCCGCCUGGGAAGUACGUACGCAAGUAUGAAACUUAAAGGAAUUGGCGGGGGAGCACCACAAGGGGUGAAGCCUGCGGUUCAAUUGGAGUCAACGCCGGG
rnacentral:rRNA from 1 species